rnacentral:rRNA from 1 species
GAUGAACGCUGGCGGCGUGCCUAAUACAUGCAAGUCGAGCGAACGGACGAGAAGCUUGCUUCUCUGAUGUUAGCGGCGGACGGGUGAGUAACACGUGGAUAACCUACCUAUAAGACUGGGAUAACUUCGGGAAACCGGAGCUAAUACCGGAUAAUAUUUUGAACCGCAUGGUUCAAAAGUGAAAGACGGUCUUGCUGUCACUUAUAGAUUGAUCCGCGCUGCAUUAGCUAGUUGGUAAGGUAACGGCUUACCAAGGCAACGAUGCAUAGCCGACCUGAGAGGGUGAUCGGCCACACUGGAACUGAGACACGGUCCAGACUCCUACGGGAGGCAGCAGUAGGGAAUCUUCCGCAAUGGGCGAAAGCCUGACGGAGCAACGCCGCGUGAGUGAUGAAGGUCUUCGGAUCGUAAAACUCUGUUAUUAGGGAGGAACAUAUGUGUAAGUAACAGUGCACAUCUUGACGGUACCUAAUCAGAAAGCCACGGCUAACUACGUG